rnacentral:rRNA from 1 species
AGAGUGAACGCUGGCGGUAGGCCUAACACAUGCAAGUCGAACGGCAGCACAGUAGGAGCUUGCUCUUACGGGUGGCGAGUGGCGGACGGGUGAGGAAUACAUCGGAAUCUACCUUUUGGUGGGGGAUAACGUAGGGAAACUUACGCUAAUACCGCAUACGCCCUUCGGGGGAAAGCCGGGGACCAGCAAUGGCCUGGUGCUGAUAGAUGAGCCGAUGUCGGAUUAGCUAGUUGGUGAGGUAAUGGCUCACCAAGGCGACGAUCCGUAGCUGGUCUGAGAGGAUGAUCAGCCACACUGGAACUGGAGACA